GUGCUCCCUUCAGCAGCACAUAUAUUCAAAUUGGAACAAUACAGAGGAGAUUAGCAUGGCCCCUGCUCAAGGAUGACACACAAAUUCAUGAAGCGUUCCAUACUUUU
rnacentral:snRNA from 1 species